ensembl:snRNA U1 U1 spliceosomal RNA
AUACUUACCCAGCAGGGGAGCUAUCAUGAUCAUGAAGGUGGUUUUCCCAGGGAGAGGCUUUUAUCCAUUGCACUCCAGAUAUGCUGACCCCCCAUGAUUUCCCCCAAAUGGGGGAAACUUGACUGCAGGAUUUGUAGUAGCAGAGGACUGCAUCCGCACUCUUCCC